CGGGCACGUAAUUGGCUUAGCUUGUUUUCAGUUCCACCAGCCUUUAACAAUCUGCUUUUUCUUUAUGCGUAGCUGGUAACCAGCAGACUAACGGUCCCUUCCUCAGUGCAGCGAUUGUUAUGGCAUCGGUGUUGCUGUGAUUUUAACAACGGAUUGUAUUGCACAUUCUGUGAAAUGGAGAGACUAUUCAGACCAAUCUGUUCCUGUCAUCGCAACGCAAGCAUUCCCAGGUUUUUCAAAUAUAUGCGGCGGGCGGCGGGUCUUGUGUAACAGAGCACGGUGACAUCGUCCCCCUCAGAACCCUGGACAGUGUCGAGCUCUGCUGCGGCUCCCUCUUGUGGCGGGCUGUCCAGCACUGUCAGCACUCUGAGCCCACAAGCGACCAGGAUUGCAACCUGGCAGGAUCUAGUUUGACUGCGCUUCAGUCCUGCACUCUUGCGCUGUCCAACAUGUCUUCGAACCCAGGACACAGUAACUCCAGCUCCUACUCUCCCAGUUCAGUUCAAGGAUUUGUAGGAUGAGCCACUGCAAUGCAAUGCACCAUCAUCUUCAUCACCACAUCGCUUUCGAUAACUGCUAUUCCAAUUCAGGGUCACGGCACGCACACUCACACCAGAGCCAGUUUUCCCAGAAGCCAAUUUACCCGCCAGCAUGUCUUUGGACUGUAGGAGGAAAUCGCUCUUGAAUGACCUUUCCAUUAAAACACUUUCACAAGCACCAUCAGAAUGUAAACAUUAACAGUCAACUAAUUAAAACAUAAAGGCCAGUACAAUAAUAAAUGGCUGUCCUCUUA